rnacentral:rRNA from 1 species
UACCAGCACCCCGAGUGGUCGGGACGUUUAUUGGGCCUAAAGCCUCCGUAGCCGGUUCUACGAGUCUUCCGUUAAAUCCAACUGCUUAACAGGUGGGCUGCGGAAGAUACUAUAGAGCUAGGAGGCGGGAGAGGCAAGCGGUACUCGAUGGGUAGGGGUAAAAUCCGUUGAUCCAUUGAAGACCACCAGUGGCGAAGGCGGCUUGCCAGAACGCGCUCGACGGUGAGGGAUGAAAGCUGGGGGAGCAAACAGG